rnacentral:tRNA from 1 species
GCCGGGGUGGCGGAAUGGCAUACGCAGGCGACUUAAAAUCGCUCGUGGAAACACAUGCGGGUUCGAAUCCCGCCCCCGGCA